AUUGAACGCUGGCGGCAGGCCUAACACAUGCAAGUCGAACGAGUGGCGGACGGGUGAGUAAUGUCUGGGAAACUGCCCGAUGGAGGGGGAUAACUACUGGAAACGGUAGCUAAUACCGCAUACCAUCGGAUGUGCCCAGAUGGGAUUAGCGAGUAGGGGGGGGAACGGCUCACCUAGGAGACGAUCGCUAGCUGGUCUGAGGGGAUGAACAGCCACACGGGAACUGAGACACGGGCCGGACUCCUACGGUAGGCAGCAGUGGGGAAUAUUGCACAAUGGGCGCAAGCCUGAUGCAGCCAUGCCGCGUGGAUGAAGAAGGCCUUCGGGUUGUAAAGUACUUUCAGCGAGUAGGCGUUACUCGCAGAAGAAGCACCGGCUAACUCCGUGCCAGCAGCCGCGGUAAUUC
rnacentral:rRNA from 1 species